rnacentral:rRNA from 1 species
GACGAACCGUGCGAACGUUAUUCGGAAUCACUGGGCUUAAAGCGCGUGUAGGCGGGAGGGCACGUCCGCUGCUGAAAUCCCCCGGCUCAACCGGGGAACGGGCGCGGAUACGACUCUCCUUGAGGGGCGUAGGGGGACCUGGAACUUCCGGUGGAGCGGUGAAAUGCGUUGAGAUCGGAAGGAACGCCCGUGGCGAAAGCGAGGUCCUGGACGCCUACUGACGCUGAGACGCGAAAGCCAGGGGAGCGAACGGG